GGUUCCCGUACGAGUACCGAAGUUAAGCAACGUCGAGCCUGGUCCGUACCUAGAUUAGUGACCGCUUGGGAAUACCAGGUGUUGUAG